rnacentral:rRNA from 1 species
UACGUAGGGUGCGAGCGUUAAUCGGAAUUACUGGGCGUAAAGCGUGCGCAGGCGGUUCGUUGUGUCGGCGGUGAAAGCCCCGGGCUUAACCUGGGAAUGGCCGUUGAAACUGGCGAACUGGAGUGUGGCAGAGGGGGUGGAAUUCCGCGUGGUAGCAGUGAAAUGCGUAGAGAUGUGGAGGAAUACCGAUGGCGAAGGCAGCCCCCUGG